rnacentral:lncRNA from 1 species
UUUCCAGGCAGGUCCUGUGGAUUCCUCUCUUUUCUUCUGCCCUGACAUUUAUGAGUGUAAGUGCAAAUUAGUAUCAGAUCAGUAAUUACUGCUUUAACAUGUUUGUCAUUGCUUUAUAUUUAACACUCCACCGUUCCCCUGUGUUUCCAGCUGUGGAAAGGAACGUAGCCACCAGAACAGUCACGCUUCAGAAGAGUACCUUACAGGGGCUGCAUGUGAGUGCCAUCGGGGGUCUCAAAGAGGAAACAGGCCUCUAUGUCUCUGCCAUCGACCCAGACUCAUCUGCUGCCCACAGUAGACUACUGGAGGUAGGUGAUAAGAUUGUUAGCAUCAACGGCAAGUCAACCGCAUCCCUCUCUCACACUGAAGCUCACACCCUCCUGAGAAAGCCCAGUGGGGCCGUCACUCUGCAGGUGGGGGGUCAUAGUAAAUCGCUAAUAAAUCGUGAUGCAUCUGUACUUACAUAUUUGUGUUUGACUAUUUCCUUUUAUUGGCUUGGCUGUUAUACACUUCCUACAGGUCAUUUCACACUGUGGCGCUAGUCGAUCGUCUUGGGAUCUGUCUUCAUCUGCUGUUCCAGAAAACUACGCUACCCCUAAUAACUUGAGGUAUGCAUUUCAGCACGCUUCCUAAUUACUUCACAAAUGCACAUUAAAUUCAGGCUUAGUCACACCCCAAGAAUCAUACGAGAGGAGUCCAGAUCUUUGGUUAAUGUUUGUGUCUUUCUGGUUAAAUAGGUCAUUUAACCAGACAUCAGUUAUCCUUAUCCUUACUUUAUGCACAUCAACUGGUGUUCGCUGUCUAUUGUGUUCAACUGCACUACCUCCAUUUUACAUCACACACACACACACUAAAGACUGUACUUUUAUAAUUUCAUUUUAUUUUUUAUUUUGUUGUAUUUAUAUGUAUCAUUUAUAUAUUUUUUUAUCUUUUUGUAACUUUGUGUACUAUACACACCUGCUGCUGGAUGUCAAGAAUUUCCCCUCGGGGAUCAAUAAAGUAUCUAUCUAUCUAUUUACUGUAUAUUUA